UACGUAGGGUCCGGGCGUUAAUCGGAAUUACUGGGCGUAAAGCGUGCGCAGGCGGUUUUGUAAGCCAGAUGUGAAAUCCCCGGGCUUAACCUGGGAAUGGCAUUUGGGACUGCAAAGCUGGAGUACGGCAGAGGGAGGUGGAAUUCCACGUGUAGCAGUGAAAUGCGUAGAGAUGUGGAGGAACACCGAUGGCGAAGGCAGCCUCCUGGGCUAGUACUGACGCUCAUGCACGAAAGCGUGGGGAGCAAACAGG
rnacentral:rRNA from 1 species